rnacentral:pre_miRNA from 1 species
CCAGGCAGCCGGAUCCGCCAGCGAGGAGGCCGGCCAGGGUCACCGGAUCUGGUGGUCCUGGCCUCCUUGUUGACAGAUGCGGCAGCGGGA